UGUGAUGUCUAAAAUUCAUCAAUGAAUUGUGAUGUCACAAGUCUUCAUGCUUCCAGCUGCUUCCAGGCUGCAACAGGCCAUUACCUCCCGGAACAGCUAGAAGAACAGACUUGUCGUGCUCAACAAUGUCAGGAAUAAUGAACAUAAUGAUAAGAUGUGCCAGGAGGUUAGAUGAUGGCCUGACCAUCAUUGAAAAUAACAUUCUUAGAGUUGUGGACGUCUAUGAGCUGGCAAGAAAAGCGCGGAGGCCAAGGCAGAGGGCAUCUAAAAAGAACACGAUGUCCUGGGAUUCGAAUGUCCCUUAUGGAAAACUCCGAUAGACAUCUAGGAGUAUAGGUGUGACCUCUGCGCUGGUGUGGGUAUUAGUAUAAAAUCAAUGUAAGCUGCUGCCUAAUCCAUGUAGAGUCAAUGGGGGGUAAUGGUGAUGUCAGCUGUGAUCACGCAGUAAUCCUCUUGUCUCUAGGAGAGUGUGGCAGACU